rnacentral:tRNA from 1 species
ACCUGGCAGGCUCAAUUGGUGAGCGUGUGACUCUUGGUCACAGGGUUGUGGGUUCAAGCCCCACAUUGGGUG